rnacentral:rRNA from 1 species
UGGGGAAUAUUGGGCAAUGGGCGCAAGCCUGACCCAGCAACGCCGCGUGAGGGAAGAAGGCUUUCGGGUUGUAAACCUCUGUCCUUGGUGACGAAACAAAUGACGGUAGCCAAGGAGGAAGCCCCGGCUAACUACGUGCCAGCAGCCGCGGUAAUACGUAGGGGGCGAGCGUUGUCCGGAAUUACUGGGCGUAAAGGGUGCGUAGGUGGCCUUUUAAGUUGGAUGUGAAAUACCCGGGCUUAACUUGGGGGGUGCAUCCAAAACUGGAAGGCUAGAGUGCAGGAGAGGAAAGCGGAAUUCCUAGUGUAGCGGUGAAAUGCGUAGAUAUCAGGAGGAACACCAGUGGCGAAGGCGGCUUUCUGGACUGUAACUGACACUGAGGCACGAAAGCGUGGGGAGCAAACA